AGAUUUAAGUGCAUACACAAAUAUAUAACAUUUUAAAUUAGAGCACUCACUAGAAUUAAUCUAUUUUCCCCAUCAUUUGCUCACUACCGGGUUGAGUUCACAAUACCACUGUAUGACACCAUAUCAGCUUCACCAAGUGACAUUUUCUACUGUAAAUUCUAUGGCCAUGCGAUCUCCAGAGUGAAAAUGAACCCUUUCUGUUCUGAUGCAGAGCCUCACCCCUUUACUGCAGUUACAACAAUUAAAGAGGAACUUUGAAUUCCAGAGAAAUGAUGGUUCCUGGGUCAUUUACUUCAGUAAACACAGUUUCCAGCAUCAUAUGAGGGCAGGCAGGGGAUGUGAUGGCCCUCAGACCAACAGCAUGUGGGAGGCUGGCAAGAGGGCUGCACACUGCUACCUCAAAUCAUCCUUCUGAAAUAUUACAUAGUAGGGCGUGCUGGGAUAUUUGUUUGCACAGAUCUGCAGGAGAGACAUACCAUGCUGGAAAUGUGUAGGAUACUACAUAUUAUCACCACGAAAUGUACUGUACUUACACUAUUUUUCAAACUGAAAUAUAUAUGUAACAGAAAAUCCACCCCAAAUUUAAAAUAAUAAAUAUAUAUUUUAUUAUAUAUAGUUUGGGAUUUUCUGUACUAUUUGAGGUUUUUUUUCUUUUGCAGGUCCAUUACUGUUACAUAUAUAAUAUUUCAGUUUGAAGGAUAUUGUAAGCACAGCACAUUUUGUGGUGAUAUUAUGU